UACGUAGGGUGCGAGCGUUAAUCGGAAUUACUGGGCGUAAAGUGUGCGCAGGCGGCCGCGCAAGUCGAGUGUGAAAGCCCCGAGCUUAACUUGGGAAUUGCGCUCGAAACUACGUGGCUGGAGUGUGGCAGAGGAAGGUGGAAUUCCACGUGUAGCGGUGAAAUGCGUUGAUAUCGGAAGGAACGCCGGUGGCGAAAGCGCGCGGCUGGCCCUCAACUGACGCUGAGGCGCGAAAGCGUGGGGAGCAAACAGG
rnacentral:rRNA from 1 species